rnacentral:rRNA from 1 species
UACGUAGGGGGCAAGCGUUGUCCGGAAUCAUUGGGCGUAAAGAGCGCGUAGGCGGUCCGGUAAGUCGGUUGUGAAAACUGGGGGCUCAACCCUCAGAGGCCGACCGAUACUGUCGGGCUAGAGUCCGGAAGAGGCGAGUGGAAUUCCUGGUGUAGCGGUGAAAUGCGCAGGUAUCAGGAGGAACACCAAUGGCGAAGGCAGCUCGCUGGGACGGUACUGACGCUGAGGCGCGAAAGCGUGGGGAGCAAACAGG